ensembl:lncRNA RNF216P1 ring finger protein 216 pseudogene 1
AGUCGGGAGGGGGCGCUGUACGCGCGCUGUACGCUUGCGCGAGGUGACGCCGGGGCAGGGCCGGAAGGAAUGCAGCGGCUGCCACGGAGCUCGUAGCUGCAGCUUUGGAGGAGUAAGCGGCGUGGUAGCGAAGGUCGCCGAACCCGCCUGGCUAGCCGGCGAGUUGAGUGGCGACUCUUUUGAAACAGAUGGUCACCAUGUUUAGAUAUUAGCAGUCCCGUAUGUGCAUGUCUGCAUUUGAAAAUGGAAGAGGGAAACAACAAUGAAGAGGUAAUUCACUUGAACAACUUUCACUGCCAUCGGGGACAAGACUUUGUAAUUUUCUUCUGGAAAACCCAGAUUAUCCAAAGAGAGAAGACAGAAUCAUUAUAAAUCCCAGUAGCAGUCUGCUGGCCAGCCAAGAUGAGACAAAGUUGCCUAAAAUAAGACUUUUUUGACUAUUCUAAAUUGACUCCUCUUGACCAGCACUGCUUCAUCCAAGCUGCUGACCUCCUCAUGGCCGACUUCAAAGUGCUCAGUAGUCAGGACAUCAUGUGGGCCCUGCACGAGCUCAAAGGACACUAUGCAAUCACCCGAAAGGACUUUGAGAGUCAUCAGCAUAUGGAAAAUCUCACCAGCCAGGAUGAGGUACCCAGAGAUACCAGGCCUUUUCUGAUGCCAUUAAAAAAUGGCAGGAGCUAUCACCAGAAACCAGUGGAAAAAGGAAAAAGAGAAAAGAAAUGAACCAGUAUUCUUAAAUUGAUUUCAAGUUUGAACAAGGUACUGGGCUGCUGGGGGAUCCCAAGUGAGCAGAGUCUGUUUUCUACC